CCCAGUGACUACAAGUUCAACGGCCGCGGUAUUUUGACCGUGCAAAGGUAGCGCAAUCACUUGUCUUUUAAAUAGAGACCUGUAUGAAUGGCCAAACGAAGGCUUAACUGUCUCCCAUUUCAAGUCAGUGAAAUUGAUCUAUCCGUGCAGAAGCGGGUAUAAUAAUACAAGACGAGAAGACCCUUUGGAGCUUAAGGUACAAAAUUCAGCCACGUUAAACAACUCAAUAAAAAGUAAGAACCUUGUGGAACAUGAAAUUUUACCUUCGGUUGGGGCGACCACGGAGAAAAAUAAAUCCUCCAAGUGGACUGGGAUAAAACCCCUAAAACCAAGAGAGACAUCUCUAAGCCACAGAACAUCUGACCAAGCAUGAUCCGGCCACCAAAGCCGAUCAACGAACCAAGUUACCCUAGGGAUAACAGCGCAAUCCUCUCCCAGAGUCCAUAUCGACGAGAGGGUUUACGACCUCGAUGUUGGAUCAGGACACCCUAAUGGUGCAGCCGCUAUUAAGGGUUCGUUUGUUCAACGAUUAAAGUCCUACGUGAUCUGAG
rnacentral:rRNA from 1 species